UAAGCAAUAGUUGAAUUGGUUGAAACGUACCGCUCAUAACGGUGAUAUUGUAGGUUGGUUGGGCCUA
rnacentral:tRNA from 1 species